rnacentral:lncRNA from 1 species
CUUGACAUACUAUGUCAUGUUCUUCACAAGUACGGGAAUUUGAUGGACACUCCCCAUGACUCAUUGUUAACUUCAUUAUUGCCCCAGCUGAGUUCCAAUCAACCUAGUGUCAGGAAGAAGAGCAUUUCAUGUAUAGGUAACCUUGUUAUAAGCUUCUCUGUAUUGUAUGUGCUUUAAAUUUUGAAUGGAGAGUGUAUCAAGUUAAAACAGAGUUUGUUUGAUGGCGUAGUAUAGAUGCUUUGAGAGAUAGUAACAACAAUUUUCCUUUCUGACAUGGAAACAUGAGUUAAUAAGAUUUCUUAGACUAUCAUGUACUGUGUUGGACUGGUGGCCAAGCUUUCAACUUUUCCUGCAGUAAAUUCAGUUCAACCUUUUCUCUUUGUCUUCAAAAUUGUCGGAUGAUUUGCUGGCGAAGGCUACAGUUGAAGUUGUUCGCCUUUUGAGCUAUAAGAGCUCAAAAUCAGAGAUGAUACGAACUAACAUUCAGAUUAUUGGGACCUUAAAGUAGCAAAUCCUAAAUUAUAAUUGAUGCUUGCAUUUUGUCCUAUUAAAUGUCAUGUAAUUUUGAUAUACUUGUUUUAACUUUUAGACAAAUGCCCAAGGACAAUAUACUUUUCUCAACAGUAGGUAUAGUGAAUACUCAAUUAGCAGAUUUCACAUCCAAUAUUCUUCACCCUGUUGGACACUAUGCUUGUCACUGCCCUAGAGAAACUUGUGACAUAGUUGAAAGGGAAAAGAAGCCAGGUCAUCAUUUGACAUUAUUUUGACAACUGGAAAGGCUGACAGAGGAAGACAAGGGAAUCAAGUCAAAGCUGACAGUGCUAAUGAAUACACGGAUGAUGAUGAUGUCAGUUGGAAGGUUAGAAGAGCUGCUGCCAAAUGCUUAGCUGCAUUGGUAGUUACUCAGCCUGAGAUGCU